AUUGAACGCUGGCGGCAGGCCUAACACAUGCAAGUCGAACGAGUGGCGGACGGGUGAGUAAUGUCUGGGAAACUGCCCGAUGGAGGGGGCUAACUACUGGAAACGGUAGCUAAUACCGCAUACCAUCGGAUGUACCCAGAUGGGAUUAGCUAGUAGGGGGGGGAAAGGCUCACCUAGGCGACGAUCCCUAGCUGGUCUGCGAGGAUGACCAGCCACACUGGGACUAAGACACGGUCCAGACUCCUACGGGAGGCAGCAGUGGGGAAUAUUGCACAAUGGGCGAAAGCCUGAUGCAGCCAUGCCGCGUGUAUGAAGAAGGCCUUCGGGUUGUAAAGUACUGUCAGUCGGGAAGCGUUACCGACAGAAGAAGCACCGGCUAACUCCGUGCCAGCAGCCGCGGUAAUUC
rnacentral:rRNA from 1 species